AUGAAGAUAGGGAAGAACAAAAGCACUGUUGCUGCAGGAGCUGACCUGGAACCACUCUGGCAUGCAACAUCUGUGAACCUGAGCCACACCAGGGCCACCAAGAGCUGUGUGCAGUGAGCAAAAAGGUAGAAUUUUGUGAACAGAAUCUUAUUUCCUGACUGGCUUCCAGAGGAUUCGUUCAUGCCUUAUUUUUCUUAGGCUGUUACUGGAUAUUGUUCUUCCAAAGAUUCAGAUGACUGGUUGGACAAAAGACCUUGAGCAAAAUUCUGUACUGUGUGUGCCAGAUUGUUGAGGAAUUGAUUUACUCACUGUAAGCAAAAUAUCUGCUCUUGGUUGAAGCACUGAAUCCAUUCAGAUGAAGAGUGUCAAAAGGAGUCUACGAAUGAGACACCAAGAUGGCAGUUCCACUGGGGAUUGAGAGGUUGAGGAAAUGGACUAAUGCAUGAGUGCUGGGAUGUCUGUCCAAGAAAAGGAUGUUAAAACAUGGACUCUCAUGUUAUUAAACCAGAGAAGAUCUGGGUUGGAUCAUCCUACCAGAAUGGACUUUGCAUUUGCAUUAAUCAGUGACUAUCCAAUGAUGGAUCUGUUUGAGGACUGGGUUGCAAAAUUUUCCUUUUGGGUUGUGUUUGCAUGAUAGGCAAAUUAAUUUGGUAAAAGAUCUGUUGCUACCCCAUUUGAGAAAAUGUAAUUUAUAAAGUGACUUUAAAUAAAAGGUUUUGGUUUAUUUCA